rnacentral:sRNA from 1 species
UAACGUUUCUAAUGAUCUCAAAUAUAACAAACAAACACUAAACUGGCAACAGCGCCAGAUUGAUAGUAGGAUUUUAGUCAAUUAAUCCUAAAACACUAUCCUGUCGUUGUAGUAUUUUAGGAUGUCAAUCCAAUCCGGUGUGAUGCAAACAGAUGAAAUAUGAUCAAAAAGCUCUAAGUCAAGCCAAGAAGAAAGUUGGUUGGUUCUAACAGUCCUAAUAUGCAAUAACAGAAAUGAAAUGAAACUAAAAGCAGAAAUGGCAAUAGCAGGCAGGUGAAUAACAAAGCAGAAAUGAUAACAAGCAAUAAAAUGGAUAAACGAUUCCUAAGGAUGGGGUAAUCGAAUAGUGUGGUCUCCUUAAUCUAUUCAGGCGGUUGACAAAACUUCACAGAAGCUAUCCGUAGACAACAAGUUCAACAAUAGAUUAAUUCACUCCCGUGAUAGAAAUCCUCAAGCAAAGCUAGACACUGACCUAAAUCCCUUUAGCGAUCUCUAACUAAGCAGGCAUUAUCGAAUCAACAUGUUAAAGUCAAUACCCUCUCUACAGCCAAUCCCUUGAGGUAGAGUCAAAUAUCUCUGGAAUUAAUAGGAUCCAACGCCCAUUAAAUGCCUUUUGAGCGCUGGACGUCUGGACUCAUACUCCACAUUAGCCAGUGAAACAAGCAAUAAGCGCAACUAAUCCAGAAGGGAUUCUACUAUUCUAAACUCAACCACCUAAAACGACCAAGUAAACCACAACUAAUCUAUCCCAUCCUCAGAAAUACAGUUCACUACUCAGACAUAAUCAAAGACAAUAACAAAGCAACGAUUGAAAACAUGAUAACAGAAAUGAUGAAAGACUUAGACGAAAACUGAAUAUCAAAUACUUGAAAGUG